UCAUAGGCUUCUUUUUACAGAAGCCACAUAUUUUAACAAUUUAAAUUAAA
rfam:Phalacrocorax carbo contig51050, whole genome shotgun sequence.